UGGCGGCGUGCUUAACACAUGCAAGUCGAACGAUGAAGCCCAGCUUGCUGGGUGGAUUAGUGGCGAACGGGUGAGUAACACGUGAGUAACCUGCCCUUAACUCUGGGAUAAGCCUGGGAAACUGGGUCUAAUACCGGAUAGGAGCGUCCACCGCAUGGUGGGUGUUGGAAAGAUUUAUCGGUUUUGGAUGGACUCGCGGCCUAUCAGCUUGUUGGUGAGGUAAUGGCUCACCAAGGCGACGACGGGUAGCCGGCCUGAGAGGGUGACCGGCCACACUGGGACUGAGACACGGCCCAGACUCCUACGGGAGGCAGCAGUGGGGAAUAUUGCACAAUGGGCGAAAGCCUGAUGCAGCGACGCCGCGUGAGGGAUGACGGCCUUCGGGUUGUAAACCUCUUUCAGUAGGGAAGAAGCGAAAG
rnacentral:rRNA from 1 species